UACGUAGGUGACAAGCGUUGUCCGGAUUUACUGGGCGUAAAGAGCGCGCAGGCGGUCGAUCAAGUCGAGUGUGAAAGCCCCCCGGCUCAACUGGGGAGGGUCAUUCGAUACUGAUCGACUCGAAGGCAGGAGAGGGUAGUGGAAUUCCCGGUGUAGUGGUGAAAUGCGUAGAUAUCGGGAGGAACACCAGUGGCGAAGGCGACUACCUGGCCUGCUCUUGACGCUGAGGCGCGAAAAGCUAGGGGAGCAAACGGGG
rnacentral:rRNA from 1 species